rnacentral:tRNA from 1 species
AAGGUAGAUGACAAACUGGAUAGUCGCUCCUUUUGGGUAGGAGAGCCUAGCGCGUUCAAGUCGCGCCUACCUUA